rnacentral:rRNA from 1 species
GAUGAACGCUGGCGGCGUGCCUAAUACAUGCAAGUCGAGCGAACAGACGAGGAGCUUGCUCCUCUGACGUUAGCGGCGGACGGGUGAGUAACACGUGGAUAACCUACCUAUAAGACUGGGAUAACUUCGGGAAACCGGAGCUAAUACCGGAUAAUAUAUUGAACCGCAUGGUUCAAUAGUGAAAGACGGUUUUGCUGUCACUUAUAGAUGGAUCCGCGCCGCAUUAGCUAGUUGGUAAGGUAACGUCUUACCAAGGCAACGAUGCGUAGCCGACCUGAGAGGGUGAUCGGCCACACUGGAACUGAGACACGGUCCAGACUCCUACGGGAGGCAGCAGUAGGGAAUCUUCCGCAAUGGGCGAAAGCCUGACGGAGCAACGCCGCGUGAGUGAUGAAGGUCUUCGGAUCGUAAAACUCUGUUAUUAGGGAAGAACAAAUGUGUAAGUAACUAUGCACGUCUUGACGGUACCUACUCAGAAAGCCACGGCUAACUACGUG